rnacentral:rRNA from 1 species
CAAGGACCUAUUAGAGGGCAAGUCUGGUGCCAGCAGCCGCGGUAAUUCCAGCUCUAAUAGCGUAUAUUAAAGUUGUUGCGGUUAAAACGUUCGUAGUUGAACUUGUGCUUCAUACGGGUAGUACACCAAAAAUUUGGGUUAGUACGUUACCUUAUUGUAUGUAAGCGUAUUACCGGUGGAGUUCUUAUAUAUAUAUAAGUUUUUAUAUAUAUAUUCCUCCUAUAUAAACCUGACUCAAUGCUCUUUACCGAGUGUUGUUUUGGGCCGGUACAGUUACUUUGAACAAAUUAGAGUGCUUAAAGCAGGCUAUUAAUGCCUGAAUAUCUGUGCAUGGAAUAAUGGAAUAAGACCUCUGUUCUAAUUUCAUUGGUUUUUAGAUCAAGAGGUAAUGAUUAAUAGAAGCAGUUGGGGGCAUUAGUAUUACGACGCGAGAGGUGAAAUUCUUGGACCGUCGUAAGACUAACUUAAGCGAAAGCAUUUGCCAAAGAUGUUUUCAUUAAUCAAGAACGAAAGUUAGAGGUUCGAAGGCGAUCAGAUACCGCCCUAGUUCUAACCAUAAACGA